UGUUAGGCAUGCUCCAGUUACCCUGAACUUGUAAAACACACGAGACUAACUCUACGACCUUUUCGUCCCUGAGAAGAAGCUAAAACAAGUGACUCAUACUUUACACACAAAAAACCACCCUAAGAAAAUGUUGCUUUUCUCGUUGCUGCUGUGACCUGAAGAAGCGGUAGAAGAUGGAUGGAUGAUAUUUUGACAGAUUGAGCCUUUUUGGGAAACAUGCUGAAGUAGGCCAGUUGUCUUUAGUUAAGACAGUAAAGAGCUCAGAGGCUGAACGGUGUCAGGUUGCAGAUUAGUGUGCGAGCGGGGUCAGUGUCCUUCUGACCUGCUUCCAGUCCAGUUACACACUGAACUAGUGUGACCAGCGUCAACACAACUUAGAAAUACAAACAGGGAAAAAAAACACUCAAAUUGCUAUCCAGUGUUUAAUUUCCACUCAGGGGUAUCUCAUUCUACUUAAUGAUAUGGUGAUCCCCUGAGCCUAAUCUCACUACAAUGAAAGGUAUAAAAGCCUACUCUUGCUGUUGCUCCAAGAGCAGUAUAGCGUCUAUAGCGUAUGUGAAAGACUGAUGGAGAGCCUGCCAAGUUGCAUGAAGGUUGUAGUUAGAGAUCUGUACCGGGUUGCACCAGCCGAGAUAGUUCCACUGAGGUAGAAGGUGUAACUUAAAUCUUACACCUAGCUCCAAGUAGGUGCGUCCAUAAAAUACAGUUGUCAUGGUGAUCAGGAGGAGCUUAUUGGCUGUUUGGUGUCAGCAGUGCGUUCUACCUGAUAGAUCACAUCCUUCAUAAAUUAAAUCCAAAAGCAGAGUAAUGUUAAAUUACCUCAUGUUGUGUUGUUGUUGUUUUUUUAAAGAUUGAUUUUCCCUCUUUUAGGGCAGGGUUAGGGCUGUCCUGAAAGUUUCUAGAGUUAUUCAGGAGUGCACAUGUGUGAAAACCACUCCACAGACAUGCAGGGAAUUUGCUUAGGAAGUAGCCACCAUGCCAUCGCUGCGUUUACUCUCAACAUGAGGCGAAUAGCUCUGAGUAAUAAACAGACAAUUUACUUACCACAAGUAGGAAUGCCCACCCAACCUGACAUUUGGAGAAGUGCUUCUCCAGGAUGUUUUGAAAGCUGUAACAUUAUCCCAAACUCAGAGACGUGCAUCUGAAGUGUAACAGAAUAUCAUUCAUUUAAUAGUUUGGCAGAACAUGCAUUGGAUAUUUUAUUGAAGCAAAGAUGUCAAUAAUUAUUACAUCAUCCAGCUCGAGUGCAGACGAUUGGUUUGACUUCAGACUCCACUGAAGGGUUUGUUUUAGAAUAACUUUAUCUUGAGGAACUCAAACGUGAGUCUGUAUCUGUUGUAGAAACCUCCAUCCACAAAGCUUGGACCUGUUAUUUCCCAGAUAAAACACGUUUACCCUUCAGAAAAACACAUAAAUGUAACAAUCGUUCUUCACAAAGAAGCAGAUUUUCAUUGGAGAGAAGCUUGAGGUAAACAUAUGUAAAGGAAAUGUCAGCUGUCAGAUGGUGAAAAACCUGGAAUUCCUGGAAUGUUUUUGUUAAGGUUUGGUCUGAUUGUUGAGGAAGAUCCUGUUACUCUGUUUAGCAGGAGCAUGUCCGACAGGAAGGCCUCGUCCAGGUCCUCAUGAGAUACUCCAAACUAGUAGACUGCAUCUGGGAAGUUAGUCCUGUUUGGCC